rnacentral:rRNA from 1 species
ACUACGGGUGGCAGCAGUGGGGAAUAUUGGGCAAUGGGCGCAAGCCUGACCCAGCAACGCCGCGUGAAGGAAGAAGGCCCUCGGGUUGGAAACUUCUUUUAUCAAGGACGAAACAAAUGACGGUACUUGAUGAAUAAGCCACGGCUAACUACGUGCCAGCAGCCGCGGUAAUACGGGGGAGGCAAGCGUGGUACGGAUUUACUGGUUGUAAAGGGCGUGUAGGCGGGGCUGCAAGUCAGAUGUGAAAACCAUGGGCUCAACCCAUGGCCUGCAUUUGAUACUGUAGUUCUUGAGUGUUGGAGAGGCAGGCGGAAUUCCGUGUGUAGCGGUGAAAUGCGUAGAUAUACGGAGGAACACCAGUGGCGAAGGCGGCCUGCUGGACAAUAACUGACGCUGAGGCGCGAAAGCGUGGGGAGCAAACAGGAUUAGAUACCCGGGUAGUC